UUCGUUAAAGAGAUAUUAAGAGAAAACCCCGACCAAUCAGAGCGCGCGUAUACCGUUGGAGCGGCCGCGGUAGUGAAGGGUACGCGCGAAGCGGCCGCGCUCAUACGCGAACAAAUGACUCGAAGGUGCAUCGAAGGACAUUGACGCGGCCAUUGAGUUCUAUCCUAACUGGAGUGUGAAUUCCUGUAGAAGGAAGUAGAGGCGACGGAGGUCCGAGAGAAAUGCAAAAUGGGUGGUUCCGGUAUUUAUUUGUAGAGGGGGAACAAACGUACGCCGUAACAUAACCUACCCGAGCAUCGCUGAGCAUUGUCGAGUGAGUUUCUUUCAGAUUCUUUUCCGCAUAAAAUUGAAUAAAUACAAUAUAAAUUGAAUUGUGACAAAUAAUCAAAUUUAGCUCUACACCAAAUUGUAUAUAUUUGUAUGAUCUAAAUUAUGGUAUGUAAAUUAUGUAUACUAUUUCAUUAUUAUGUUAUUAUUAUUAAUGUUUCUAUCGUUUUAUAUAUAAAUAAAAAGGAAAUAAAGUUCAAAUCUGUACAUAAUUAAUCUGUAAAUAACUCCUAGUGCCGCGAAAUUCAAACAAAGAGGAGUCUGUUCUCCUUCCACACAUAAAUUUGCUAUAGGAUAGUACCACCGGAACCACUCAUCUUGCAUCUUUCUCGGACGGGCUUCUCUUUCACAGUUCGCACUCCAGUUAGGAUAGAGCUCAAUAAACGCGGCCGUCUAGCGCGUAGCCACAGCCGACUCUAGUACUAGCCAUGCUGAGAAACGUGGCAACACCAAUCAAAGUCUAGAUCUAGAGCCCUAUUUUCCAAUGUAAGAGGUUUGUGCUUCGUAUCAUAAUUAACAGUUUUUUUAAUAGAAAACUAUACUAAUGUACACCAUUUGUUAUUAAUUAUGUAAAAGUGGGAUAUAAAUAUUAUGACUAUAGUAAGUAAAAGUAGCUUAAAAGUAUAUUGAUAUCUGAAAAUGUAGUAUAAAUUUGAUGGACUCUGAAAGAAGUUUGAUGUUAUGAUGCAUUAAACUUGAAAUAUUUACAGUGAUUUGAAGAAAAUAUAUGUGUGAAGGAAGAUAAAACCUUCUUUGGACCAAAUUGAAGUGUUUUAAAAUUAAUAAAAGAUAUUUUAAGUUAAUGGAAACGUGAAAUUGACAAAAUUGUUGGUAUGAAGCCAAAGAGAUUAAGUGAGCGCGUGGAAGAGAUGAAGGGAAGUUACCCAAGAAAAGAAUUGUGCAGUUAAUUACAAGAGUGUGUUACAGAUUUUACAAAUUGGGACUUGAAGUUAGCAUCAUUAAUUAUGGCUUCCAUUAUGGCAUACAUAUGACUGAAUACGGUCAUUACUUCUUCUGUAGGAACAGAAAGGUCUCCUCCUUCAACAGAAUGGGACCUAUAACCAGAUAUGUAAAUUUUAAUGGAAUCAUCAACAACACAAGUGGAUAAAUAUUCAGUUUCGAAGAUUCCCAGAAAACAAGUUACAUCAAUGGAAAGAUCAUGAAGAUUAUUAUCGUUAUCACAAAUUUGAAAUCUAUUUUUGAUUUAAGUAAAAGAAAAGAAUCUUGCCAAUUUCUUAAAUAUGUUUUAAUCUAAUAUUUUUCUCUGCAUGAACUACUUUAUUGUGUGAAACGUGAUAAUUACAACCAAAUAAAAGUCUAUAGUUUCCAAAUCGUUUCUCUAAUUUUUUAGUUCCAAAUUUUCCUG